GUGGAGAAGUAACGCAGGCCAGAAAGAGUUUCAGCUGAACCCCAGUCGUGCUCUAUGUUACUUGCCGGGUAGAGCCAAGUCCUAGCUCUCAGAAAAGCUGCUCUCUCCAUUUGCAAGCAGAGACAGGGCACCCAGGAGGGGCCCCAGGAGGCUGGGAGUAUGCUCAGGCAAAAGUGAAACUCAAGCCCUGAAAGCUAAGCCCCAAAUCCAAAUAUGCUGUUACGCAAAGCGUCCGCAGAUUGGCUCGUGCUUGGUUAUCGUAUGAGGUUACUGGUUGGCAUGUACUGCGCAAUUCUCUGGCAUGCCCGUGGCUCAUCAGUGGCAUUCCUUCUUGAGUCAACACUGACCCGCAGCCUGGCUCAGGGAGGACGCUUCAGCCUCGUCCAAGAGGCCAUCGUUUUACGUGAAACCUAAAGCGCACAGUCCUGUUGUGCUGGCGUCAUCCUGUUUGGCCUUUCAUCUCCAAGGAUGACCCGCCUCUCUCCUGUCAGAAUUAUAUCAGUUAAUGGACUAUGAUACCCACAGAACAUGGAGACCUGUGUGCUGAAGUAAGUCAACACGUUGCUUCGGGAUCCAGAUGCCAGGAGAAAUUUCUCUCCUUAGUCCCAUGUAAAUCUCAUGCUCUCUGCAAGUGAAGUGGUGAUACAGAAGAGCCCUUUCUUCUUAGCGUUGUUAAGAGCCCCUGUAUUAGGCUCCAAAGCUCUGGGCUUCGGGGUUCAGCUUAUAUGUACUGUUUGUGGAUAAUUGAGACCAUAGUACUGAACUCCUCUUUGCCUGGGUAACUGCCUACAAAUGAAAGUAAUAAAAAUGAGACCUCCCUAUUGGCGCAUCAGAAGAUUAUAGUGGUUGAUACACAUCCAAUCACUCAGUAUAGUGCCCAGUGCAGAGAAGCCUUCUUUCUCCAAGAAUUGUCCAUCAUGGUCUUUCUUCGUGCUUACAAUGGUGCUUGCAGGGUCCCACAGUGGAAACUCCAUCCUCUUGCUUUCUGCUCUUCGGCUGUUUCUUCUAUCCUGAUCAUGACCAUCCUGCCCUGGGUCUGUCUUCACAAGUUCUCUUUUAUGCCUUCUGUUCAGAUGAAAGCCAAGCUACGGAGGGCCCAACUCGCACAUGAAUGUAAGAACUGAAAUAGGAAGAACCGUGUGGCAGGUUCCUCCAUCACAGUUUCUGUCCUUAAUUUAUAAGAAGAACAAGUAUGACCUCCUCGAUAGUUUUGUGCGGUCUUUACAAAUCAUACCAUAGCUAAUUUUCUCCUUAAAUGAUAUUAUGUACAUGUGCUGGUUGUUUUUAUGUCAACCUGACACGAACCUAGACCUAUCUGGGAAUGGGGAACCUUAAGGGAGAAAAUGCUUUGGUAGGACUGGCCAGUGUACAAAUCUGUGGUGAUAUUUUCUUGAUUAAUGAUUGAUGUGGAAGGGUCUAGGCAACUGUGGGUAGUGCUGUCCCUGCGAAGGUAGUUCCCGGGGUGUGUAAAAAAGUAGGUUGAGCAAGCCAUGGAGAGCAAAGCAAUGUUCCUCCAUGGUCUCUGCUUCAUUUCCUGACUCCAGGUUCCUGCCCUGACUUCCUUUGAUGAUAGACUGUUAUAUGGAAGUGGAGGCUGAAAUAAACCCUUUCCUUCCCAGUUGCUUUUGGUCAUGCUGUUUGAUCACAAUAACAGAAACCUAACUAAUUUAGAGCAAGGCUCAGGGUUCCAUAAAGUGUGCAUCUCACUUGUUUGCCAUUGUAAAAUGAAUCUAUUCCAGUUAAUGGAAAGAAAAGGAAGAAAUUAAGACCUUCUUUUUCCUUAACUCUCCCACCUAUGCUCAUCUUGUAGUCCCAGAGUUUAAAAGAGCUCACAUCUUACAGGAAUUCGACCAAGGGUGAUGGUAGAACACGAAGACAGCUUAUGUAUUUGGUUAGGCUCUUCAAAGAGGCACGGAAAGAAUGUAUGCACCCGGAUCCUCCUUACCCACAAGGAAACCCAGAGUACCAUCUCUUUAAGUGAGGCAUGUAUCACAACAUGGCAUCGACCCCAGAAAGUGCACAGAGCCAGAGUGUCCCCAGCAUCAACACCUUCCAGGAUAGAAACUGAAUUCAUUUGCCAGCAACCAACUCCAGGGGACAGUGCCAGAAAGCACGGGACUGCUUGCAUUCAUUUCUGCGAAGUGAAUCAGGGUUGCCGGGUGUCAAUGAUGAGAUGUGAAAGUUCAACCAAAAACCCGAUGGUGGUCACUUUGGUUUCCCCUCUGUGGAAACACAGCUUCUCACUCGGAGGGUUUAUGUCAUGUGUGAUAUUGGCAUGUUGCUCUGGGUGUUCUCUGUGCCCUUCCCGUCCACACAAACACAUUUUUUCAGGUAAAGCCACUGGAAGGUCCUAUUUCAAAAGAAGAAGGAUUGUGAGCAUGGCCAAGACAAUCUUUCCAUUUGUAAAAAUAAUGUAAACCCUUUAGAGUAUAAUGUCCUGCAGAGCAGGGGAAUUGUACCACAGCAAUAAAAUUGUCAGCUUUCAAUAAUAA